rnacentral:rRNA from 1 species
UACAGAGGGUGCGAGCGUUAAUCGGAUUUACUGGGCGUAAAGCGUACGUAGGUGGUCUUUUAAGUCGGAUGUGAAAUCCCUGAGCUUAACUUAGGAAUUGCAUUCGAUACUGGGAGACUAGAGUAUGGGAGAGGAUGGUAGAAUUCCAGGUGUAGCGGUGAAAUGCGUAGAGAUCUGGAGGAAUACCGAUGGCGAAGGCAGCCAUCUGGCCUAAUACUGACACUGAGGUACGAAAGCAUGGGGAGCAAACAGG